GUCCUAGGAAACAGCUCUAUGAGAUGAGAUAUAAGGCAGCUUUUGCCAACUCAAGCCAAUAGAAGGUGCAGUGAGAUUGUUCAGCUGGAAAGUGCCUAUGUCAUCCCCUGCAGGAACGAGCAGAACGCGGAGCAGGAGGCAUUGCAGCUGGUGCAGCAGCCCCCACUGACAGACAUGAGACAACUGCUGGGAUUUAACACCCCCUGCCCUGCAAUGGCUGAUCCUGCUUUACAAACUUGUGGCCAGGUCCCUCGCACUGCUUUGCCUACACACAUAUCAUAACCCUGGGUUCAGGAUUAUACAGGAGAGAUUCCUUGUCUGCAGCCAUGAUUGCUCAGCCCUGGCAGAGAGCCAGGCUUCAUACCCGGGUGACUGUUUAGAAAUAACCUGAGCUCUCUGAAACUCUCCCAGGAGCAUCACCACAGAGAGGAACUGUCUGUCCUCUGCUGCUUACCAUUCAUUUGGUAGCAAUCAGAAGUUCUCUGCACUCUUCUCCCAUUUUCUUCUGAAAUUCAACUCAGUAUACAAUAUAUUUACCUAAGACACCCCAUUUCUGCAGCUGAAGGAAAAGUGCAUCAUGGAGGAUUGGGCAGCUAAAAGGACUCAGAAGUGGACUGUACCUGUCUCCAGAGGGGGCUUUGCCUGAACAUAAGACUGAAGGUGAAAAGGAAUAGAUAAGUGAGUAUCGUGUGUGGGUUAGUAGAUUGCCCUCAGAUGAGAGCCUGUGUACUGAUCAGGUGCCUUGGCAACCAAAGGGCACUACACAGUCAUCAGGGUGAGCCUUUUUGCAGGCAAUGGAGAGAGGAGAGUUUCAAAUUUAUCUCCUGUAAUGCCAGGAUGUCCUUUCACCUUGGUCAGCUGAAAGACAGCUGGGAUCUUUAGAUGGUUUUCCUCACCCAAGAUCUACUCAUAAUGAACCUUUUUUGCAUCUUGCAUUUCACAUAUUCUCCAAAUGAAGGAGAAAGAUUUCUGCCCUAGCACUCACGGUUUUAUGAAAGAAGGAAUCGUGGUUUUAUAGGGAAGGGAGGGGAGGGGAGGGGAGAAAUGUCAAGAGACUCAGGAAAUGCAACGUGCGGUGUUCAUGAGUCUUAAAAUAAAAUAACCCAGACAUUUAAAAA